AACACUGUUAACCUGCGGUACCUGCGGAAGGAUCAUUCAAAAAAGUUUUGAAUUUUCAAAUAAAAUUCAACUCUUUAUAUUGUGAAAUGUAAAAAAGAACAGACCUAAAUAUUUAUUUAGGAGGGUUUGCUCUCUUUUUAUUUUAAUUCAUUGUAUUAUAUUCUUUUUUAUUUAAUUAUAUAUUGAAAAAUUUAUAAUAAUAUAAAAUAUAACUUUCAGCAACGGAUCUCAGAUCGGAAG
rnacentral:misc_RNA from 1 species